rnacentral:rRNA from 1 species
UACGGGGGGGGUAAGCGUUGUUCGGAAUUACUGGGCGUAAAGCGCGUGUAGGCGGCUUUGCAAGUCGGGUGUGAAAGCCCUCAGCUCAACUGAGGAAGUGCGCCCGAAACUGCAGAGCUUGAGUACCGGAGAGGAUGGCGGAAUUCCCCAAGUAGAGGUGAAAUUCGUAGAUAUGGGGAGGAACACCGGUGGCGAAGGCGGCCAUCUGGACGGAUACUGACGCUGAGACGCGAAAGCGUGGGUAGCAAACAGG